GCCUUCGUGGUGUAACGGUAGCAAACUCGGCGCGUAAUCGAGAGAUUCAGGGUUCGAGUCCCGGCGAAAGUA
rnacentral:tRNA from 1 species